GAACCUGAAUUGAAUAUUCAGAAGAAAAUGAAUGGAUAGACUGACAUUUGUUUAAAUACUUCUAGAAAUCUGAGCUGUUGGUGUGUCCUUGGAUUGUGUGGUAAUAAUAUUAGAGCUGGCAAUCUUUCUUACUGAAUCUCUACUAUGAGUCAUGUUACCUGAGAUUAAUUCUAUGUUUACCUGACAGCCUGGACAAAUGUGCUGUGUGAAGGAUGUAAAUCAAAUCAGAUCUUAACUGCUUACAUUUAAGGAGCCUGGUCAUAUUUAAUUGUAAUAUGAACCAAUGAUUUUCUGAUUGCUGAUUCUAAGAGAGUCUUUGUGGAAAUCCUGUUUGGCUUUUUGUCAUUUUAAUUCUCUUUUCCGUUUGCCAGAACAGUUCUCCACAGUCACUAUCCACAUGGGUCAGUGGGACCAAGCAGCACUCUGCUAAUGUGUGGACUCUGACCAGCAACAUCCAGCAAGACCAAGGCAGCGUUUUCUAUCUCCCAGCUGGAGUUUUUUGUUUGUCUGUGACUGGAGAGUCAGAUUUUUGUUGAGGCUGGAGGAACAGCCUCACACUUGCAGAGGUUAAUACACUCUACUGAUCCCUGAUGGGAGAAUCAUCACCUCUGCCAACAAAGAAGCCUGGUGGAUGUUUGUUUACAGUCUGAUGAUGGGACACCAUGCUCUGCAUCUUCAAAGUUUGUCUCUUGCUUAUUAUUCAUACACAGUAAUGUGAAGUAUGCUUAUAUCUAGUAUAACGGGACCAACCUGGUGCUCUUCAUUUAUGGAGGCUGUUGAGUCUGAAUGUUGGAUGUUGUGUAUCUCGUGUUCUCUGGGCUUUGUUGUCCUCAGUCUUUUUGCAGGAUCAGAAAACAAAACCAGGAGACCUGUAAAUGUUUCUUCUCCAAUUGGAUGAUGAUAAGACUGUGACACGGGAUGCCACCUUUAGUCUUGUGAUGAAGCAAAGCUCAGGAAGAAGUGUGAUUAAAUGGUACCCACAUGUGUGCUGCUGAGAAGGAUGUACAGGGGCACCUGCAGCCAAAUCCAAGCCUCCUCAGCAACUUCAGGUCUGUCAGCGUGCUGAGGUCACAGAAACAAGAAAAGCAGCUUCAGACUUCAGAGUGUUGUUUACAGUUUUCUGACAUCAUGAUCUCCCCUGAAGUUUAUCAAGCAUUAAGUCCACAAUACUGUA